CUUCGGGGUUCUUAGGUGUCACGCAGAUCUCAGUGGGACCUCCAAAUUGUUAGACCUAGUGGGGAAACCCCCACCCAAUUACCGAUUCGGCAUGCAUCCAAGAAUCAUGAACAGACUA
rnacentral:pre_miRNA from 7 species